rnacentral:tRNA from 2 species
GCUGGUGUGGCUCAGUCGGUAGAGCAGCUGAUUCGUAAUCAGCAGGUCGUCAGUUCAAGUCUGAUCACCAGCUCCA